UCUCUGGUGAUCCAGUGGUUAGGGCUCUGCACUUCCACUGCAGAGGGCAUGGGUUUGAUCCCUAUUCAGGGAC
rnacentral:tRNA from 1 species